GAGUUUGAUCUUGGCUCAGAUUGAACGCUGGCGGCAUGCCUUACACAUGCAAGUCGAACGGCAGCACGGGAGCUUGCUCCUGGUGGCGAGUGGCGAACGGGUGAGUAAUGCAUCGGAACGUAUCCUGGAGUGGGGGAUAACGUAGCGAAAGUUACGCUAAUACCGCAUAUUCUGUGAGCAGGAAAGCGGGGGACCUUCGGGCCUCGCGCUCUUGGAGCGGCCGAUGUCGGAUUAGCUAGUUGGUGAGGUAAAGGCUCACCAAGGCGACGAUCCGUAGCAGGUCUGAGAGGAUGAUCUGCCACACUGGAACUGAGACACGGUCCAGACUCCUACGGGAGGCAGCAGUGGGAUUUGGACAAGUGGGGCAACCCUGAUCCAGCCAUGCCGCGUGAGUGAAGAAGGCC
rnacentral:rRNA from 1 species